rnacentral:lncRNA from 1 species
ACCCGCAUAAAGGUAUUGAGAUUUGAUCUCUUCUUUAUUUUAAUUUUCAGAUUAUAUGCAUAUCUUUAUUCUUAGACUCGGAUAAGAUUAGAUGAGAUCUAAUGAAUGUGGGGUUAAAGAGUUUAACCUGAUUUGUUUCUACUGCUGUUUAAAAAAAUUUUGAAAUAUAUGCAUGUAAUCCUACCCGAUUUUCUAAUAGGGGUAGCACUCUAGGGUUUGAGAAUGUGGGGG